rnacentral:rRNA from 1 species
AUUGAACGCUGGCGGCAUGCCUUACACAUGCAAGUCGAACGGUAACGGGCCUUCGGGUGCCGACGCGUGGCGAACGGGUGAGUAAUACAUCGGAACGUGCCCGAUCGUGGGGGAUAACGAGGCGAAAGCUUUGCUAAUACCGCAUACGAUCUACGGAUGAAAGCAGGGGACCGCAAGGCCUUGCGCGGACGGGGCGGCCGAUGGCAGAUUAGGUAGUUGGUGGGAUAAAAGCUUACCAAGCCGACGAUCUGUAGCUGGUCUGAGAGGAUGAUCAGCCACACUGGGACUGAGACACGGCCCAGACUCCUACGGGAGGCAGCAGUGGGGAAUUUUGGACAAUGGGCGCAAGCCUGAUCCAGCCAUGCCGCGUGCAGGAUGAAGGCCUUCGGGUUGUAAACUGCUUUUGUACGGAACGAAAAGCCUUCUUUUAAUACAGGAGGGUCAUGACGGUACCGUAAGAAUAAGCACCGGCUAACUACGUG